rnacentral:rRNA from 1 species
AUUGAACGCUGGCGGCAUGCCUUACACAUGCAAGUCGAACGGCAGCACGGGAGCAAUCCUGGUGGCGAGUGGCGAACGGGUGAGUAAAGUAUCGGAACGUGCCCAGUCGUGGGGGAUAACGUAGCGAAAGUUACGCUAAUACCGCAUACGAUCUAUGGAUGAAAGCGGGGGAUCGCAAGACCCCGCGCGAUCGGAGCGGCCGAUGUCAGAUUAGGUAGUUGGUGGGGUAAAGGCUCACCAAGCCGACGAUCUGUAGCUGGUCUGAGAGGACGACCAGCCACGCUGGGACUGAGACACGGCCCAGACUCCUACGGGAGGCAGCAGUGGGGAAUUUUGGACAAUGGGCGAAAGCCUGAUCCAGCCAUGCCGCGUGCAGGAUGAAGGCCUUCGGGUUGUAAACUGCUUUUGUACGGAACGAAAAGGUUUGGCCUAAUAAGCUGAGCUCAUGACGGUACCGUAAGAAUAAGCACCGGCUAACUACGUGCCAGCCGCCGCAGUAAGAC